CCCGUUGCCAUGGUGCCCCAAAAUCCCGCCCCCCUCCCUCGCCUGUUGCCAUGGCAACUCGCGCGCUCGCCCUCAGGCGCCAUCUCGCCCUGAGGGGGGGGAGCGGGUCGGGCCAGCGCGGGCUCGGCUUCGCAGUCUUCAGUGUGCUUUUAAAAAGGGCUGUGCAAACCAGGAGAUGAAUCUUCAGACGGAGCAGACAACCCCGGCCGAGAGCUGCGUGUCCUGGGGAGCCGUGCUCAGGAAUGUCUUCAGCUGUGGCAGCUCUGGGCCCUUCCUCUAGUCCUUGCCUGUGCUUGUGGGGCUCACACCUCAUGAUAGACCCCAUAUACAUUAACAGGGGUUGAUUUAUAUAAGUUGUUAAUAUGUGGUUAGUGCGUUUAUUCCCAACAAAUAUGUUAAGUGGUUAAUAUGUAGUUAGUACAUUGAUCUCCAACAAACCUGUAAGUAGUUAACAUGCAGUUAGUGCAUUUAUCCCCAGCAAUCCUGAACCUGCUUUCCUGUUGUUUCAAUAAAACACACUGUUCCAGAA